UCACCCUCUCAUGUGCUCUUGUAUAUCUACAAAACACCUCUCUCCUUGCAAUCCCACUCCACACUUGUGUAGUCUCUAACAAUUCCUCCACAUAACCUCUAACAUUCUUCCACUCCACACUCCACUGCAGUGCAACCCCUGAUAUUCUUCUGUCCCAAUCCUCCUUCUAUAAGAACCCCCUCAUACAACCCCUUCUUCUGAUCUUCUUUCUCUUUCUUUCCUUAAUCGAUUUGUAAACUGUUAUCAGAAUAGUGUCAAGUCUGUUGAUAUUGCUGUUGGAACGGAUCAUACAAACUGCACAGGCGGUACGAACGGUUUAAUCUGCAACAUCGGUAACAUCUGCUU
rnacentral:sRNA from 2 species